GUGCUUGCGUUGGCAGCACAUACACUGACGCUGGAAAGAUACCGAGAAUAGUGUGGCACCUGUGCAAGAAUGACACGCAAAUUUGUGAAGCAUUCCAUAUUUUU